UACGGGGGGGGGCAAGCGUUGUUCGGAAUUACUGGGCGUAAAGGGCUCGUAGGCGGCCAACUAAGUCAGACGUGAAAUCCCUCGGCUUAACCGGGGAACUGCAUCUGAUACUGGAUGGCUUGAGUUCGGGAGAGGGAUGCGGAAUUCCAGGUGUAGCGGUGAAAUUCGUAGAUAUGGGGAGGAACACCGGUGGCGAAGGCGGGGACCUGGACGGAUACUGACGGCUGAGACGCGAAAGCGUGGGUAGCAAACAGG
rnacentral:rRNA from 1 species